UACAGAGGUCUCAAGCGUUGUUCGGAUUCAUUGGGCGUAAAGGGUGUGUAGGUGGCGCCGUAAGUCGGGUGUGAAAUUUCGGAGCUUAACUCCGAAACUGCAUUCGAUACUGCGAUGCUUGAGGACUGGAGAGGAGACUGGAAUUCAUGGUGUAGCAGUGAAAUGCGUAGAUAUCGUAAGGAAGACCAGUGGCGAAGGCGGGUCUCUGGACAGUUCCUGACGCUGAGGCACGAAGGCCAGGGGAGCAAACGGG
rnacentral:rRNA from 1 species